rfam:Picea glauca, whole genome shotgun sequence.
GUACAUGAUUAUAACAUAGCAUUAAUGCACCAGAUCCCAUUAGAACUACGCAGUUAAGCAUGCUUGUGCUAGAGUAGUAUUGGGAUGGGUGACCACCCAAGAAGUCCUAUUAUUUUAUAUG